rnacentral:rRNA from 1 species
UACGUAGGUGGCAAGCGUUGUCCGGAAUUAUUGGGCGUAAAGAGCAUGUAGGCGGGAAUCUAAGUCUGUUGUGAAAAUGCGGGGCUCAACCCCGUAUGGCGAUGGAAACUGGAUUUCUUGAGUGCAGGAGAGGAAAGGGGAAUUCCCAGUGUAGCGGUGAAAUGCGCAGAUAUCAGGAGGAACACCAAUGGCGAAGGCAGGUCUCUGGGCAGUUACUGACGCUGAGGAGCGAAAGCAUGGGUAGCGAACAGGAUUAGA